rnacentral:rRNA from 1 species
CCGGCAAACUGCUCAGUAACACGUGGAUAAUCUAACCUUGAGUAAGGGAUAACUUCGGGAAACUGAAGGUAAUACCUUAUAAUUGCUUAAAACUGGAAUGUUUUUGCAAUAAAAGUUACGACGCUCAAGGAUGAGUCUGCGACCUAUCAGGUAGUAGGUGGUGUAAUGGACCACCUAGCCUCAGACGGGUACGGGCCCUGGGAGGGGUAGCCCGGAGAUGGACUCUGAGACAUAAGUCCAGGCCCUACGGGGCGCAGCAGGCGCGAACACUGUGCAAUGCGCGAAAGCGCGACACGGGGAGCUUGAGUGUCUUGGCAUAGCCAAGACUUUUCUCAUUCCUAAAAAGCAUGAGGAAUAAGUGCUGGGUAAGACGGGUGCCAGCCGCCGCGGUAACACCCGCAGCACUAGUAGUGGUCACUUUUAUUGAGCCUAAAGCGUUCGUAGCCGGUUUUGUAAAUCUUCAGAUAAAGCCUGAAGCUUAACUCCAGAAAGUCUGAAGAGACUGCAAGACUUGAGAUCGGGUGAGGUUAAACGUACUUUCAGGGUAGGGGUAAAAUCCUGUAAUCCCGGAAGGACGACCAGUGGCGAAAGCGUUUAACUAGAACGAAUCUGACGGUAAGGAACGAAGGCUAGGGUAGCAAACCGGAUUAGAUACCCGGGUAGUCCUAGCUGUAAACGCUGCCCACUUGGUGUUGCUUCUCCGUUGAGGGGGAGCAGUGCCGUAGCGAAGGUGUUAAGUGGGUCACUUGGGGAGUACGGCCGCAAGGCUGAAACUUAAAGGAAUUGGCGGGGGAGCACCGCAACGGGAGGAGCGUGCGGUUUAAUUGGAUUCAACGCCGGAAAACUCACCGGGAGCGACCUUCGGAUGAGGGUCAACCUGACGAAUUUACCCGAUAGAAGGAGAGGUGGUGCAUGGCCGUCGUCAGCUCGUACCGUAGGGCGUUCACUUAAGUGUGAUAACGAGCAAGACCCCCAUCUCUAAUUGCCAGACUGUCUUCGCGGGCAGAGGCACUUUAGAGGGACCGCCAGCGCUAAGCUGGAGGAAGGAGGGGUCGACGGCAGGUCAGUACGCCCCGAAUCUCCCGGGCUACACGCGCGCUACAAAGGACGGGACAAUGAGUUGCAACCUCGGAAGGGGAAGCUAACCUCGAAACCCGUUCGUAGUCAGGACUGAGGGCUGUAACUCGCCCUCACGAAUGUGGAUUCCGUAGUAAUCGUAGGUCAACAGCCUACGGUGAAUAUGCCCCUGCUCCUUGCACACACCGCCC